CUUUUCAAGCCUAAGCACUAUACUGAAAUCCCACAUCGCAAAAAAAAAGAGAAGUUUGACGUCAAUAAAACCCUCCUCAAUACCGUGUUUUAUCGUGUGCUUGAAAAGCACCAUCAAGCAUGCGGUUGACAGAGGUAACACGGCCUGGUCAUAAUCCAAAAUGUCCUCUAACCCGGCCACAUCAUAAUCCAUGCCGUGAAAUGCUCCGUUCUGUGACGUCAUAAUUUGUCUUGAAAUGCCCUUUAACACGGCCACGUCAUAAUCCAAAUCCAAAUGCCCUCUAACAUGGCCACCUCAUAAUCCCAAUCCAAAAUGACCUCUAACAUGGCCAUGUCAUAAUCCGUUCUGACAUAGCC
rnacentral:lncRNA from 1 species